rnacentral:rRNA from 1 species
GGGAAGGGGCAGAGGAGGGGAGGGGAGAGGCAGGCCUAGAUAGAUGGAAAGGGGGGAGGGGUGGGGAGGCGGCGGGAGGACCUAAGGGUCGGGUGGCGGCCGGCCGGAAGGACCCACGAGCCAGAGCGGACGCGGUACCUGCUGCGGCCCCUCGGCGCGGACGGGUCCUUCUCCCCGUGGUUCUCCGGGGGAGGGAGCCGCCGCGGCGGCGGCGGGCGGGUCCCGCCGCCGUCCCCCUCCCUGUCCAAGCUCAGCGAGACCGCCCUGAUGGUGCUAAACGAGUUCCACGAGGGUAGAGAGGGGAAGGCGGCAACAACCGGCGGCGGCGGCUGAGCGGCUUGGAGAAGGAUGAGACGUGUGUUCAAGUAGAAUAAUAUGUGAUGUAACAUAGGCACCGGAACAAACAGGGAACAAACCGCCGCAGUGUUAGGCGGCGACAAACUAGAAGAGAUGAUGAUCGUCUAACGAGAAGACAGACUAACGACUAAAUGAUCAGGUCAACCUCCUAACAAUUUAAGCCCUAACUCCUAAGCUAACAUGGCGAUUACAAACCAUUGUUUUCGCCCAAAGUGGCACAGUUACUUAAUCAAAUCAAGCUGGUCAUGCCUGAUUACGGAACCUAUGACAUAUGCAAGAGCUGACCUGAGCCUCGACUGUGAUCAUCGUACCGACUACGUCCUUUGACUCCGUUUCUUCUCCUCCGAUCUCGCGUAUUUGGUCGCUUUCGAACCUGACGAGCGGCUUCAGUUUAAGAACGCCUUCUUCAUGUCAAGCAAACGCUUCCUACUAGGUCUCGUUUGUGUAGUGUCCGAUUUCUUCUUCUUCCGAUUCGUUUAGGGUAGGUAAGACCCUUAGUUACUUCCCGGUAGGUGGUCGUUCUUGUGUUUACACCUGAACUUAGUACUAAGACGUUACUUACGACUCCCUCGGCCAAAGGUCCUGGUAGGUCUUGGACCCUUCGUACUAGUCCGACCACAUCUACUUCUAUAUUACCGGAGGUUAUAGUUGAAUAGUCAAAUAUCCCUAUGUCUUUUAAGGGGUCGGUCACUACUAUUCUCCCGUCGGCGUACCGUUCUGGCCCAUCGGAACGUCCAGAUCAGGGCGACAUCUUUAGGAAGAGACCACCAACUGACGUGGGGACGGACCAAAGCAGUUUAUAAACGGGUCAUGAGACAUUUACUUGUUAACUAUAUUCCUAUGAGUACGAAGUACAAAUGUCAAGUACGGGACAUCUCCGUAUCUGACUCUAUCAAACUGUGUGAAUCUGUUCAAGCUAGGACAAUGUUACAAUACUUUGUAGGUCGGACCUAAAGUCUCAGUGGUAAGAAACGGAUACGAAAAGAAAACUCCGUACAAUACCUACUAAAUCUUCGUUACAAAGACAAAUAAUCAAGUUUAGUUAACACAUCAAGUUUAGUUUACAGAAUAUAUAAAUCUUUGUCUCCGUCAUAUCGUAAA